rnacentral:rRNA from 1 species
UACGGGGGGGUGCGAGCGUUGUCCGGAAUCACUGGGCGUAAAGGGCGCGUAGGUGGCUUGGUAAGCGUGUGGUGAAAGCCCCGGGGCUCAACCCCGGGGUCUGCCAUGCGAACUGCUAUGGCUUGAGCACUGUAGAGGCAGGUAGAAUUCCGGGUGUAGCGGUGGAAUGCGUAGAUAUCAGGAGGAACACCGAUUGCGAAGGCAGCUCGCUGGGGACGUUACU